rnacentral:rRNA from 1 species
UUGUACACACCGCCCGUCACACCACGAGAGUUUGUAACACCCGAAGUCGGUGAGGUAACCUUUAUGGAGCCAGCCGCCGAAGGUGGGACAGAUGAUUGGGGUGAAGUCGUAACAAGGUAGCCGUAUCGGAAGGUGCGGCUGGAUCACCUCCUUUC